rfam:Bacillus sp. B-jedd genome assembly, contig: CONTIG000001
AAAGAUAAAGGCAAACCUGCCGAAAGACAGGGACGCAAAGCGAUGGGCCUGCCCGGGAAACCGAAUGGCUGCCACGCCGCCGGAC